UGGGGUGGGGCUCGGUGGCAGAGCACUUGCCUAGCACGUGUGAGACACUGGGUUCGAUCCUCAGCGCCAUAU
rnacentral:tRNA from 1 species